GUAGGGAAUUUUCCACAAUGGGCGCAAGCCUGAUGGAGCAACGCCGCGUGCAGGAUGAAGGCUUUCGGGUCGUAAACUGCUUUUAUUUGUGACGAUUAUGACAGUAGCAAAUGAAUAAGGGUCGGCUAACUACGUGCCAGCAGCCGCGGUCAUACGUAGGACCCGAGCGUUAUCCGGAAUUACUGGGCGUAAAGAGUUGCGUAGGUGGUUUGUUAAGUGAAUAGUGAAAUCGUGCGGCUCAACCGUAUACACAUUAUUUAAACUGGCAGACUUGAGUAUGGUAGAGGUCACUGGAAUUCCAAGUGUAGGAGUGAAAUCCGUAGAUAUUUGGAGGAACACCGAUGGCGUAGGCAGGUGACUGGACCAUAACUGACACUGAGGCACGAAAGCGUGGGGAGCAAACGGGAUUAGAAACCCGAGUAGUCC
rnacentral:rRNA from 1 species